CUCUCAGGAGAAAGGGAGAUUCCCUGCUGUACCACCUUGCACUACCUAACACCACAUCUGCACUAGAUUAGUCCCUAACUGACUGAUUGCUCCUGCCCUCCCUUACAGUUGCCUCACUACAUCUGAUCCUGCUUUGUUUUCCUGCCUACUGCUCUGCUGCUGAGUGCCUGGCUGGAGGCCUGAGGGGCUCCUGGACUGAUCUUCAACAAACAAAGCCCCUCCACCACUCCAGCCAUCUUUUACAUCUGCCUCAGCAGCCUUCCAUGUGUGUUUUUGCCCUUGUCUGGUGGGGAACCGAGAGAUAACAGACAACUUUCCCAGCGUCAGACAGGACAUCUGUAACAGAACCAGGAAUUGGAUUUCCUGUGUCCCUGUCCAGGCAGUUAAUAACCUGGCAGUUUCCUGCAUUUUCUCCUCAGUACAACCAAUGCUCAGGUCAGAGACAGUUGAUGGCAGAGCUUGGAACUAAACCCAGAUCUCCUGAGUCUCAUUUUGUGCCUCCACUACAAAAUCAAUCAUCCUCCAUUUUAGAGGUCUACCUGCUUGAGUAGGAAGCUGAGGGGGGACUAUCUGGCUCAAGGAACUUGGAUUUUUCAAAUAAAGGGAUCAGCUGUUAUGUAGCUGCUUAAAUGUGUGGUAUAAAAAAAAAGCAAAGGCCUUAAACUUUGAUCGAAAAAAGGUUGCAAAGAUAAAACAAAAGGCAUUGUGUAAAAGUGUGGGCUAGGAAAAGAGGGAGAAUGUCUGGCCUUGUGGUAAUCAGCAGUUACUGAGACAGCAAGAAAAAGAAAUGAAAAUAAUGUUUUUGUAACUGUUACCGCAGCUAGGUUUCUAAAAAAUGUCACUAUAUGUUCACGUGGGUGAACAUAUAGGUGGCUGUUAAAAAGGUAUAUAAGCCUUUUGCUUUAACGUUUGGGGAGGGAGCCCCCUCCAAGUGCAUGCAAGUGCAUGGUGAAUCCAUGUCACUUUG